CGGGGGGGGCAAGCGUUGUUCGGAAUUACUGGGCGUAAAGGGCGCGUAGGCGGCCUACUAAGUCGGACGUGAAAUCCCUCGGCUCAACCGGGGAACUGCGUCCGAUACUGGUGGGCUUGAAUCCGGGAGAGGGAUGUGGAAUUCCAGGUGUAGCGGUGAAAUGCGUAGAUAUCUGGAGGAACACCGGUGGCGAAGGCGGCAUCCUGGACCGGUAUUGACGCUGAUGCGCGAAAGCCAGGGGAGCAAACGGGAUUAGAUACCCCGGUAGUCCUGGCCCUAAACGAUGAGUGCUUGGUGUGGCGGGUAUCGAUCCCUGCCGUGCCGAAGCUAACGCAUUAAGCACUCCGCCUGGGGAGUACGGUCGCAAGGCUG
rnacentral:rRNA from 1 species